rnacentral:rRNA from 1 species
CGGACGGGUGAGUAACGCGUGAGAAUCUGCCUUCAGGACGGGGACAACAGUUAGAAACGGCUGCUAAAACCCGAUGUGCCCUUUGGGGUGAAAUAUUUAUAGCCUGAAGAUGAGCUCGCGUCUGAUUAGCUAGUAGGUUAGGUAAUAGCUGACCUAGGCGACGAUCAGUAACUGGUCUGAGAGGAUGACCAGUCACACUGGGACUGAGACACGGCCCAG